rnacentral:rRNA from 1 species
GUUUGAUCAUGGCUCAGAUUGAACUGGCGGCAGGCCUAACAUGCAAGUCGAACGGUAACAGGAAGCAGCUUGCUGCUUCGCUGACGAGUGGCGGACGGGUGAGUAAUGUCUGGGAAGCUGCCUGAUGGAGGGGAUAACUACUGAAACGGUAGCUAAUACCGCAUAUNGCAAGACAAAGAGGGGACCCGGGCCUCUUGCCAUCGGAUGUGCCCAGAUGGGAUUAGCUUGUUGGGGGUAACGGCUCACCAAGGCGACGAUCCCUAGCUNGUCUGAGAGGAUGACAGCCACACUGGAACUGAGACACGGUCCAGACUCCUACGGAGGCAGCAGUGGGGAACAACGGCGCAAGCCUGAUGCAGCCAUGCCGCGGUAUGAAGAAGGCCUUCGGGUUGUAAAGUACUUUCAGCGGGAGGAAGGAGUAAAGUUAAUNCCUUGCUCAUUGACGUUACCCGCAGAAGAAGCACCGGCUAACUCCGUGCCAGCNGCNCGCGUAUACGGAGGUGCAAGCGUUAAUCGGAAUUNCUGGGCGUCAGCGCACGCAGGCGGUUUGUUAAGUCAGAUGUGAAAUCCCCGGGCUCAACCUGGGAACUGCAUCUGAUACUGGCAAGCUUGAGUCUCGUAGAGGGGUAGAAAUUCAGGUGUAGCGGUGAAAUGCAGGGAUCUGGAGGAAUACCGGUGGCGAAGGCGGCCCCUGGACGAAGACUGACGCUCAGGUGCGAAAGCGUGGGGAGCAAACAGGAUUAGAUACUGGCAGUCCACGCCGUAAACGAUGUCGACUCGGAGGUUGUGCCCUUGAGGCGUGGCUUCGGAGCUAACGCGUUGGUCGACCGCCUGGGGAGUACGGCACGCAAGGUUAAAACUCAAAUGAAUUGACGGGGGCCGCACAAGCUGGUGGAGCAUGGUUUAUUCGAUGCGCGAAGAACCUUACCUGGUCUUGACAUCCACGGAAGUUUUCAGAGAUGAGAAUGUGCCCGGGAACCGUGAGACAGGUGCUGCAUGGGCUGUCGUCAGCUCGUGUUGUGAAAUGUUGGGUUAAGUCCCGCAACGAGCGCAACCCNUAUCCUUUGUUGCCAGCGGUCCGGCCGGGAACUCAAAGAGACUGCCAGUGAUAAACUGGAGGAAGGUGGGAUGACGUCAAGUCAUCAUGGCCCUUACCAGGGCUACACGUGCUACAAUGGCGCAUACAAAGAGAAGCGACUGCGAGAGCAAGCGACCUCAUAAAGUGCGUCGUAGUCCGGAUUGAGUCUGCAACUCGACUCCAUGAAGUCGGAAUCGCUAAUCGUGGAUCAGAAUGCCACGGUGAAUACGUUCCCGGGCCUUGUACACACCGCCCGUCACACCAUGGGAGUGGGUUGCAAAGAAGUAGGNAGNUUAACUUUCGGGAGGGCGCUUACCACUGUGAUUCAUGACUGGGUGAAGUCGUAACAAAGGUAACCGUAGAGGGAACCUGCGGUUG